rnacentral:rRNA from 1 species
CCUACGGGUGACAGCAGUCGAGAAUCAUUCACAAUGGGGGAAACCCUGAUGGUGCGACGCCGCGUGGGGGAAUGAAGGUCUUCGGAUUGUAAACCCCUGUCAUGUGGGAGCAAAUUAAAAAGAUAGUACCACAAGAGGAAGAGACGGCUAACUCUGUGCCAGCAGCCGCGGUAAUACAGAGGUCUCAAGCGUUGUUCGGAAUCACUGGGCGUAAGGCGUGCGUAGGCUGUUUCGUAAGUCGUGUGUGAAAGGCGCGGGCUCAACCCGCGGACGGCACAUGAUACUGCGAGACUAGAGUAAUGGAGGGGAAACCGGAAUUCUCGGUGUAGCAGUGAAAUGCGUAGAUAUCGAGAGGAACACUCGUGGCGAAGGCGGGUUCCUGGACAUUAACUGACGCUGAGGCACGAAGGCCAGGGGAGCGAAAGGGAUUAGAUACCCCUGUAGUC